GGAGAUAAUGAUAGUAAUGGUGGAGAUGAAGAUACGGAUUCAAGAAACACUGUAGGUGAUAGAGUACAGGACUUCAUACAAUUUGAUUGAGAACGGAUGAGUCUCAGGAUUCUAGAGUGAGAAACUGGGUAAAUGGUGGUGUCAUUAGCUGAGGUGUGACCACUGGUGUAGCAGUAAAUCCUGAAGGAACUGUCAAGCAUUAAAGUUGCUAAAUUUGAGAUGCCAUAUGAUAUUCAAGUGGAGAUGUCAUGCAAGCAGUAAGAUAUAUAGGUCUGAGCAUAAAAGAGUCUGGAAUGAAGAUACCAAUUUGCGUGUUGUCAUUUAUAGACAUUAAUUGAAGUUAUGGAUGAGGGUAAGAUUGCUGAAAAAGAAAAGUGUGGAAUGAGACGAAGUAAGGACUCAGGACGGAGCACUGGGAAAUUUCAACCGUAGUAGUGAAUAGAGGAGGAGAAACUCAAAGGAGAGUUUGAGAAAAAGUGUCGAAGACAUGUGUGGACAGAAGAAUGUGGAAUACACAAGAUAAGAAAAUGAGAAACACCAUAAAAGAUGCAGAGACCGUGACCAGAAGCAGUAAGAAACAAAGAAAAGAUAUGGGCAAUCACAAGAUGGUUAAUGUAACAGAGAAAACACCGCUCAGAAACCUCUGCUGAUGAAUAAGGGCACCGUCAAAAAACGUCUCUAUGCCUGCGUAGGCCGGGGUCAUUGUCCUCCGCUGGGCGAUCACCGAGGCAGGAAAGCUCCGUCAACAUACCAAGCCCCAUACCUUCUUGCUAUUUCUCUCUUUUCUAAAAUGGGAGGAACAAAAGAAAAAAAAAUCCUUUCCCCAAUCGCAG
rnacentral:lncRNA from 1 species